rnacentral:rRNA from 1 species
CUUGGUCAUUUAGAGGAAGUAAAAGUCGUAACAAGGUUUCCGUAGGUGAACCUGCGGAAGGAUCAUUAGUGAACGCCCUCACGGGCUUAUAACUAUUCCAAACCUCUGUGAACCGUGCCCUUCGGGGCUAUUUUACAAACAUGGUGUAAUGAACGUCAUAUAUCAUAACAAAACAAAACUUUCAACAACGGAUCUCUUGGCUCUCGCAUCGAUGAAGAACGCAGCGAAAUGCGAUAAGUAAUGUGAAUUGCAGAAUUCAGUGAAUCAUCGAAUCUUUGAACGCACCUUGCGCCCUCUGGUAUUCCGGAGGGCAUGCCUGUUUGAGUGUCAUGUAGACUCAAUCCCUCGGGUUUCCGAGGAGAUUGGACUUGGGUGUUGCCGCUCUGCCGGCUCGCCUUAAAAGACUUAGCGGGAUAGCACAGUAGUCGGCGUAAUAAGUUUCGUCGGUGAAGGUUGUGAUGACUGCUUACAAUCGCCCUCGGGCAAUUUUUGACUCUGACCUCAAAUCAGGUAGGACUACCCGCUGAACUUAAGCAUAUCAAUAAGCGGAGGA